GAUGAACGCUGGCGGCGUGCCUAAUACAUGCAAGUCGAGCGAACAGACGAGGAGCUUGCUCCUCUGACGUUAGCGGCGGACGGGUGAGUAACACGUGGAUAACCUACCUAUAAGACUGGGAUAACUUCGGGAAACCGGAGCUAAUACCGGAUAAUAUAUUGAACCGCAUGGUUCAAUAGUGAAAGACGGUUUUGCUGUCACUUAUAGAUGGAUCCGCGCCGCAUUAGCUAGUUGGUAAGGUAACGGCUUACCAAGGCGACGAUGCGUAGCCGACCUGAGAGGGUGAUAGGCCACACUGGAACUGAGAGACGGUCCAGACUCCUACGGGAGGCAGCAGUAGGGAAUCUUCCGCAAUGGGCGAAAGCCUGACGGAGCAACGCCGCGUGAGUGAUGAAGGUCUUCGGAUCGUAAAACUCUGUUAUUAGGGAAGAACAAAUGUGUAAGUAACUAUGCACGUCUUGACGGUACCUAAUCAGAAAGCCACGGCUAACUACGUG
rnacentral:rRNA from 1 species